rnacentral:rRNA from 1 species
AACGAACGCUGGCGGCAGGCCUAACACAUGCAAGUCGAGCGCCCAGCAAUGGGAGCGGCAGACGGGUGAGUAACACGUGGGAACCUUCCCUAUAGUACGGAAUAGCCCAGGGAAACUUGGAGUAAUACCGCAUACGCCCGAGAGGGGAAAGAUUUAUCGCUAUAGGAUGGGCCCGCGUAGGAUUAGCUAGUUGGUGAGGUAAUGGCUCACCAAGGCGACGAUCCUUAGCUGGUCUGAGAGGACGACCAGCCACACUGGGACUGAGACACGGCCCAGACUCCUACGGGAGGCAGCAGUGGGGAAUAUUGGACAAUGGGCGCAAGCCUGAUCCAGCCAUGCCGCGUGAGUGAUGAAGGCCUUAGGGUUAUAAAGCUCUUUGCCGGGACGAUAAUGACGGUACCCGGAGAAUAAGUCCCGGCUAACUUCGUGCCAGCAGCCGCGGUAAU